rnacentral:ncRNA from 2 species
CGGGCAGUCUUUGGGGAGUAGCUCGUCCCGCGCUUCGGCGCCAGGGGGGCACGCAUCAACAAACUUGGACCUCCGCGGUCCAUGGUGUGUGCGGCAGCCAUGCAUUCAUUCAUUCAUGCAGGGCGGCUGAGCGAGACCAUUGACUGCGCACCGAUCCAAGAGCCGGAGUCGGGGCGCAGUCAAUGCUGUC